rnacentral:rRNA from 1 species
UACGUAGGGUGCAGGCGUUAAUCGGAAUUACUGGGCGUAAAGCGUGCGCAGGCGGUUUGCUAAGACAGGUGUGAAAUCCCCGGGCUUAACCUGGGAACUGCGCUUGUAACUGGCAAGCUAGAGUGUGGCAGAGGGGGGUGGAAUUCCACGUGUAGCAGUGAAAUGCGUAGAGAUGUGGAGGACCACCGAUGGCGAAGGCAGCCCCCUGGGCUAACACUGACGCUCAUGCACGAAAGCGUGGGGAGCAAACAGG